rnacentral:lncRNA from 1 species
AAAAUGGGCUGGUCAUGCCCGUGCUUUGGAGGAAUAAAUGGGAGUGAGGGAAAGAGCAAGGACAGAUUAGAAGCAGAGAAAUUAGUUAGAAAAUUACUGAAAUAUUUGCCGAAGCACAAUGAGGGAUAAGGCAGAUAGUGGCAAUAAGAACAGAAAUGAAAGGUUAGAUUCCAGGGAUAACAGAGGGUAGGAUGUAAAGAAAUUGGUGCCUAAUUUAACGUUUAUCAUAAAAGUGCUGUCCAUCACCCACGCAGAUAAUGUUUUGUCUCAACUCGCAAUGAGAGUGAUUGAUCAUUUGAAUUAAAAAUUUUGUUUUACUUCCACUCAGUCCUGGGAUCUUACAGAUCCUAGGGUGUGAAAAAAAUAGAAUCAGAAAAUCUAAGGAUCCUUUCUUUGCACUGCACUAAGAAUUCAUAUGGAAUAAAAAUUUACUCCUAGCCUGAAAUUUCCAGUGGUGUCAGAAGCUCAGAGUUAGACUAAUUUGUGCCUGUAACCAUCAGAUUCAAACAAUGGUCUGGCACAUAUGGGAAGCCAGUCAUCCUCAUUGCCUCAAUUCCACUAGGGAAUGAUAAAAGGAAAAAUAUUCUUAACGUGAAACAUUUCAUGCUUGCAGGAGGAAGAUGAGCAGCUCUUUCAAUAAGAAUAAAACCUCCAAAAAUAUCUCUCAAAUUAGAGCAGGAGGCUUGCAUACUAGAAAACAAAACACAACAAACAAAUAAAGGUGAUCAAAACAUGCUCAGAAUAGCUGAGCAGCAAACAAAGACAGAAAGGGUUAUGUUGGGGACACAGAAACAUAAUUGGAUUCCUCUGCCAAUCCUGGUAAUUAAAAUGGAGACACUCAGUACCUUAGUUGCUCUGCAAUCCCAUAAUAUGUUUGAGAUUAACAACCCUUGAAUCUUGGUUUUACUGCUAUAUUAUUUGAAUAUACAAUACGCAUCUCUUGCCGUUUUCAGAAUACACAGAUCAGGGUUCCUGUAGGGCUGAGAGGAUUUAGAAGCAGCUAACGAGAGAGCCUGACUGGAGCUCUCCAUCUCACUUCCCUCUGCCAUGGAUAUUUGGGCCAAAUUUGAACGGAAAACAAACAAACAAAAAAAGAGGAAAUAGCAAGCUUUGCAGUGAUUUAAACCUUUGCUUAUUUGUGAGGAAAAAAAAAAAAAACAGUUGCUGUUUUGUAGCUUUGCAUAGUCACUUCUCUGUUUUGCCAGCAUGCUGUGUGUGUGUGUGUGUGUGUGUGUGUGUGUGUGUGUGUGUGAUCUCACCAGUGCCUUGUAAAAAUGAGAGAUAUAAAUGUGUUGUUGGCUUGAGCAGCCUGGCUGGGUUAUCUGUGAGGAUCCAUUAUCUUCAUUGACGCUGCCUUACCCCACACGCUUCCAACUCCUUGCAUCUCAGAUCCCUGCUGCACCCAUCUGCGGAGGGGGUGUGGGAACUCAGGUCUCCUCACUGGUCUGUGGCCUUACCUGGCUGGUGCCCACAGGUGCCCCGCAGCUGGCUGGCCACGCCAACCAGCCACAGGCAGGACACUCUGCACAUACAAAGAGUCUCUCUGUUGCUGAAAGGCUUUUCUGACUAUGGAUGGUAAUUUCGGCCGAAUUCCUACUUGCAGAAUGAGAGCUCCUCCAGGCCCUUGUGGAGGUGCUUGUCAGGCAGCAGACCUGCUACUGCAGAGGGGACAGGAGGUGCAUGCCAGUAAUUAAUGUUAUGCCUUGUCCCCAAAGACAUCCUGGUCCCUUUAUAUGUUAGUUAGCUGAUCCUCCAAACCCUCUGAGAGGUAAUGAUGGAGUUCAUAUAAACGCUGAGCUUUAUAUCUAAUUUCUACCAUGAAAAGGGAGGGAGACAAACUAAACACAUAGAGUAUGUCGGUUAAUGCUGAAGAAAACCCUGUGGUGUUGGGUACACAACCCAGAGAACGGGGACUUGGGAACCCUUGUGCUUUGGGCUGAAGGGGUUGCUUCCAGUAGGUCUUGCUCAUGGUGACAGGUAUCACAAAAAUCCGGGGAUAAAAGGAAGUUGAAAGG